CAAUCCUACACCGGUUCAAGUGUUGUAAGUGGAAAGUUUGCUUGCGGAUUUGAUAAAUGGUUUGUGCCGGUCCCUUGUGUUAGGACUAUGCAAGUUGUGUUGCCUCUCUGGAAGUGUAUGUAUGUAAGCUGGAGAAGCCACAGUUGGAGACGACAUGGCCAUCGUUGGUUGGCCUUACUGCAUACAGCCAUUGAGAGCUAUCCGGUUUAUUUUGAGUAAGCGGCUGGUGCAUGGACUGACCACUGUUCCUUCCUUUUGUUUGGUUACAUGUUGCAAAUUAGCUAGCCAGUUACCAUGAGUGAGCAUGCUUCCGCUCAUAGUAUAUCGCCUUAUUUUGAUAAGUAGUGCGCAGAGCUGGUUAGCUAGCUUAAGCAUUUCUUUUUGUUUUUUUGUUUGUUUGUUUUCAUGUCAAACCAUUCUCCCCACUCUAGCUUGAUCAGCUAACCCAGCUUUGCUUGACUCUUCUUUGUGCUUUGCCUGCCAUUAAUUUGAGGGGCUUGCCUAUCUGCAUGCUUUUGGUUUGCUUUAUGCUCCGUCUGGAUUGCUGUGCUUAACUAAUGCGUUUGGCUUGGCUUUAACUAUUUUUAUUUUCUUUUACUUUGCUCUGUGGAGUGUGCAGUGUGAUUUUUGAUGCCAAUUGCAGUGUGCCUUGUUGAAGUGUGUGAUUCACAGAUAUAUAUUCCCUUCUUUAAGCCUGCAGUAAACAAGA